rnacentral:rRNA from 1 species
AAUAAAUCGCAUCCGUUCGAAUCGGAUAUUCUCUGUAUGUAAAAAGUAAAUAAAUAAAAACAGGUUAGAGCCAGGUUGGUUAGGCGUCUCAUUUGGGUUGAGAAAUUGUUAUGUUCGAAUCAUAAUAACCUGAAUAUAUAGUUUAACUUACUAUAAUAAUAUAAGUGUAUAGGUUGAAUAUGAAAGAUAUUUUGCUUGGUGUAAUUAUUUAUUAUAUCAAGGUAAGUAUAUAAAGAAACUAUUAUGGAUAAUUAGCUAUAUAUUAAAGAUAAUUAGUUAUUACUGAGAUCUAAGAAAAAUCUUAUAAUAAUAAACAAAGUGAAUUGAAAUAUCUUAUUAACUUUAGGAAUAUAAAUCAAACGAGAUUCUAUAAUUAGUGUCAACUAAUGUAGAAAAGCUUACAAGUAAAAUGGAUAUUAUCUGUUUGAAUAAAGGGGAACCUUCCUCUAAAGCUAAAUAUGAUAUAUAAGCAAUAGUGAAAAGUACCGUGAGGUAAUAUUUGAAAUAGUAGUUUUAUAAGCAGCUCGAGUAAAAUUUAAAUAAAUAAUAAGAGUAUACCUUUUGCAUAAUGGGUCAGCAAGUUAAACUUAGAUGCAAGCAAAAAAUAUUUUUGCCUAGAUAAACCAAUUAUGAAUAAAUGAAUUAGUAUCUAAGUUUAGACCCGAAGGCUAGUGAUCUUACCAUGGUCAGGGUUAUAAAAGCCCGAACGGAAUAUCGUUGUAUAGAUAUCCGAGGAACUGUGGUAAGUUAGUGAAAGACAAGACUGACUAGUAUAGCUGGUUUUCCGCGAAACCUAUGUAAGUAGGUAAUUCAAAUAACAUCUUAGCAGGUACAGAACUGUGAUCUCGGGCAUUAUUAAAAGAAAAUUUUUUCUUUUAAAUUUUUGUAUACAUCGGGGGAUCGUGAAGAUUUUAUCGGAGAGUAUUUGCACUCGGAAGGGCAAAGAUGUAUGUUGAAUAAUCGGACAUAGUACGAUAAGGUUGUAUGUCUAAAGGGAAACAGCCCUAAACAAGAGUUUUAUAAGGUUCCAAAAUUAUAGUUGAGUGAAAUUAAGGAUGCUUUUAUCGAAUACAAUCAGGAAAUAGGCUUAGAAGCGGCCAUUUUUUGAAGAUCUCGUAACAGAGCACUGAUUUAUAAACAAUAGUUUAUGUAGAUAUUUUCACCUAAAAUUUAACGGAUCUAAACUAUAUACCGAAACCUUGUGCGUAUAUAUUACUAUAAUUAAAUAUAUUAUAUAUAUGGGGUAGCGGAACAUUGGAUAUAUAUUAGUUUUUUUCUUUUUAAGAAAAAAGAAUUGAAUUAAAAUUUACCUACUUUUUUUUCAUUUAGGAUAAACUAGGAGAAAAAUAAGAGAGGAAAAAAAUUUUAAUUCUUAAUAUAAUCCAAGAGAGAAUGCUGACAUGAGUAACGAAAAAGGAAAAUAUCCUCGCCUUAAGCUUAUGGUAUUUACUUAAUUUUCGGUCUCUAAGUAUAUAACAGAAUAAAUCUCAAUUAUUAGAUAAUAAUUGUAUUAAUACAAUUAUUAAGGUUAUCAUCACUUCUAAUUAAAUAAUUUUUGUUAUUUAUGUUUCAUUUUAUGAUGCUGUUAAAAUAUGAUGAGUAUAUUGUACAAAUAUAAAAAUCUAGCAAAACCUUUAUUUAGUGUUAAAGGUUCUGGAAAUAUUAAGAUUUUUAUAAUAUUCUAUGUAGGUUUUAGAUAUAUUGUGAUUUUUAACUUUAUUGGAUCUUUUUUUUUAUUGGUUUUAGAAUUAUUUGUGUUAUUUAAUUACUUUUUUGUUUUUAAAUAACAAUUUUUUUCUUGCGAUUAAAAGACACAUAGUGGUAAUAUGUCUAAUAUAUAUAGAAUAUGAAUUUUUUAUAUUUUUUGUAUAAUCACCGUACCUAAAUACUAUCGCAAGUAAGCAAGUAGAGUAUACAAAGGCGUUUGAGUGAACAAUCAUUAAGGAACUCGGCAAAUUAACUACCGUAACUUCGGGAUAAGGAGAACCAUUAUAUUAGGUUAAAAAUAAUAAUAUAUUAUUUUUAUAGCCUAACUAUAAUAGGAAGCAUAGAAUAGUGUUGUACGACUGUUUAAUUAAAACAAAGCACUCUGCAAAGAUAAAAUAUCAAAGUAUUGAGUGUGAUGUCUGCCCGAUGUCGGCUGGAUAACUGAUUUGCUUAAUUGAUAAGAUUAGGUUUUGAAGGACACCCCGAUUAAUGGCGGCCUUAUCUAUGAGGGUCCUAAGGUAGCGAAAUGCCUUGGCCGUUAAAUGCGGUCUUGCAUGAAUGGUUUAACGAUACAACAGCUGUCUCGAUGAUUGACUCAGUGAAAUUGGAAUAGCUGUGCAGAUACAGUUUACCUCUAGUUAGACGAGAAGACCCUAUGCAGCUUUACUGUUACUAAUUAAGGGUAUAAUAUUUUAUUUACCAGUGUAUAAGGUAAUUGAAAGAUAGAAUUGAAACACCUUUGUUUAUUAUAUUAUACUAUUGUUGAUUAGAAGGCAGUUUAUGCGGGGCACAGAUCCCACAAAAAGUACCUGGGUAUAUCCAA